rnacentral:rRNA from 1 species
GAUGAACGCUGGCGGCGUGCCUAAUACAUGCCAGUCGAGCGAACAGAUGAGGAGCUUGCUCCUCUGACGUUAGCGGCGGACGGGUGAGUAACACGUGGAUAACCUACCUAUAAGACUGGGAUAACUUCGGGAAACCGGAGCUAAUACCGGAUAAUAUAUUGAACCGCAUGGUUCAAUAGUGAAAGACGGUUUUGCUGUCACUUAUAGAUGGAUCCGCGCCGCAUUAGCUAGUUGGUAAGGUAACGGCUUACCAAGGCGACGAUGCGUAGCCGGCCUGAGAGGGUGAUCGGCCACACUGGAACUGAGACACGGUCCAGACUCCUACGGGAGGCAGCAGUAGGGAAUCUUCCGCAAUGGGCGAAAGCCUGACGGAGCAACGCCGCGUGAGUGAUGAAGGUCUUCGGAUCGUAAAACUCUGUUAUUAGGGAAGAACAAAUGUGUAAGUAACUAUGCACGUCUUGACGGUACCUAAUCAGAAAGCCACGGCUAACUACGUG